AACGAACGCUGGCGGCAGGCUUAACACAUGCAAGUCGAGCGCCCCGCAAGGGGAGCGGCAGACGGGUGAGUAACGCGUGGGAAUCUACCCAUCUCUACGGAAUAACGCAUGGAAACGUGCGCUAAUACCGUAUACGUCCUUCCGGAGAAAGAUUUAUCGGGGAUGGAUGAGCCCGCGUUGGAUUAGCUAGUUGGUGGGGUAAAGGCCUACCAAGGCGACGAUCCAUAGCUGGUCUGAGAGGAUGAUCAGCCACACUGGGACUGAGACACGGCCCAGACUCCUACGGGAGGCAGCAGUGGGGAAUAUUGGACAAUGGGCGCAAGCCUGAUCCAGCCAUGCCGCGUGAGUGAUGAAGGCCCUAGGGUUGUAAAGCUCUUUCACCGGUGAAGAUAAUGACGGUAACCGGAGAAGAAGCCCCGGCUAACUUCGUGCCAGCCGCCGCAGUAAGAC
rnacentral:rRNA from 1 species